rnacentral:rRNA from 1 species
UAACAAGGAUUCCCCUAGUAACUGCGAGUGAAGCGGGAAAAGCUCAAAUUUAAAAUCUGGCGGUCUUCGGCCGUCCGAGUUGUAAUCUGGAGAAGCGUUUUCCGCGCUGGACCGUGUACAAGUCUCUUGGAACAGAGCGUCAUAGAGGGUGAGAAUCCCGUCUUUGACACGGACUACCAGUGCUAUGUGAUGCGCUCUCGAUGAGUCGAGUUGUUUGGGAAUGCAGCUCAAAAUGGGUGGUAAAUUCCAUCUAAAGCUAAAUAUUGGCGAGAGACCGAUAGCGAACAAGUACCGUGAGGGAAAGAUGAAAAGCACUUUGGAAAGAGAGUUAAACAGUACGUGAAAUUGCUGAAAGGGAAACGAUUGAAGUCAGUCGCGUGUGCUAGAACUCAGCCUUGCUUUUGCUUGGUGCAUUUUCUAGUGUACGGGCCAGCAUCAGUUUUGGCCGCCGGAAAAAGGCCUUGGGAAUGUGGCACCUUCGGGUGUGUUAUAGCCCUUGGUUGUAUACGGUGGCUGGGACUGAGGAACAUAGCAUGCCUUUACGGCGGGGCUUCGGCCACCUUCAUGCUUUGGAUGCUGGCGUAAUGGCUUUAAACGACCCGUCUUGAAACACGGACCAAGGAGUCUAACAUGCCUGCGAGUGUUUGGGUGGAAAACCCGAGCGCGUAAUGAAAGUGAAAGUUGGGACUUCUGUCGUGGAAGGCACCGACGCCCGGACCAGACCUUCUGUGACGGAUCCGCGGUAGAGCAUGUAUGUUGUGACCCGAAAGAUGGUGAACUAUGCCUGAAUAGGGUGAAGCCAGAAGAGACUC